rnacentral:rRNA from 1 species
UACGUAGGGGGCAAGCGUUGUCCGGAUUUAUUGGGUGUAAAGAGCGUGUAGGCGGCCAUGUAGGUCCGUUGUGAAAACUCGAGGCUCAACCUCGAGACGCCGAUGGAAACCAUGUGGCUAGAGUCCGGAAGAGGAGAGUGGAAUUCCUGGUGUAGCGGUGAAAUGCGCAGAUAUCAGGAGGAACACCAAUGGCGAAGGCAGCUCGCUGGGACGGUACUGACGCUGAGACGCGAAAGCGUGGGGAGCAAACAGG